UUUAAAGAAGAGUCUUUCCAACUUUGAUUUGGUAUGUUCGGGACAGGUUGGAAAUCCCUGCCUCAAAAAAACACACACAUGGAUUUGAAUCUCUAAGAGCUCUGAUCCACAAAUUCGGGCAGAUUAAAAAGAGACCACUAUAAAGCUGUGAAACUUUGCAUACCUGUUAAUCUCAUUACUUCCAUGUGCCUCCCCCUGACUGCAGAUCUAGCUCAGCCAAUCUUGUACUGUCCCCUACUAACGAACAAUAAAUGGGUGCUGCUGUUGUUCACAAGGGCCUGAGCCCUCCCUGUGGUAAGGGCAGGCCCAUGGGAAAGGGAGAGGCUACCAGGCAGGGUGGGAUCUUUCACAUCUAUCCCAAACCCUGGACUGUAACUCAUGAAUCAGAACCUAGCCUUUAGUGAACACAUCAAAUUUCACAAAAUACAAAUGAGCACAUGGGUUUUUCAGCAUUUCAGGUAGUGAGAAAUGAGAAAACAUUUUGUUACCCAUGAGGCCUUUCCUCUGCUCCUCACAGCUCUGUGCCCCGUUAGAUCUGCUGUCAGAGCUGCCCCUUUUUACAGAUGCCUUAAAACAUGUGCUACGUGCUUUCGUACUUGAUUUACCAUCUUGUGGUGCCACAGCUUUCAAGAAUACAGGAGGCAGGUAUUUGCUAACACAAUCCAUUUUCACUGAAGCAAGAUCAGGAUAUGUUCCAGAGAAGCCAAAGGCAUUACAGAGAUGCAAAACAGGAGUAUGA
rnacentral:lncRNA from 1 species